AAGUCGUAACAAGGUUUCCGUAGGUGAACCUGCGGAAGGAUCAUUACAAAUCGGAGUGGGAGGUCCUGGAUGCUGGUGGUGCUGGAUAUGCUGGCGGUGCUGAUCCCUGACGGGGUUGGCGACGCCAGGAUCUGGGCCUCUUGCACACACAUUGGCACGGGGGGCGCGAGCCCUCCCCGAAUGAGGGGGGGACGCGAUCCCUGAUGUUUACGCUUGCAUGUUUGACUGGUAACAGGGAGGGAAAUGAUUGAAAAAGACAACUUUUAACAAUGGAUCUCUUGGCUCUU
rnacentral:misc_RNA from 1 species